rnacentral:rRNA from 1 species
AUUGAACGCUGGCGGCAGGCCUAACACAUGCAAGUCGAGCGAGCGGCGGACGGGUGAGUAAUGUAUGGGGAUCUGCCUGAUGGCGGGGGAUAACUACUGGAACAGGUAGCUAAUAGCGCAUACCAUCAGAUGAACCCAUACGGGAUUAGCUUGUAGGUGUGGUAACGGCUCACCUAGGCGACGAUCCCUAGCUGGUCUGAGAGGAUGAUCGGCCACACUGGGACUGAGACACGGCCCAGACUCCUACGGGAGGCAGCAGUGGGGAAUAUUGCACAAUGGGCGCAAGCCUGAUCGAGCCAUGCCGCGUGUAUGAAGAAGGCCUUCGGGUUGUAAAGUACUUUCGGUAGGGAGGCGUUACCGACAGAAGAAGCACCGGCUAACUCCGUGCCAGCAGCCGCGGUAAUUC